AGCGGGGAGGGGUGGGCGCUGCACUGGAGGUAGGGGGAGUGCAGCAAGGGCAAGCGGGAAGGGGGAGGCGUUGCAGCCGAGGAGGGUGGUGCAGAGAAGAGGUGGGGAGAGGCGAGGAGGGGCCUCAGCGGAGCGGGGGGCGUACAGAGAGUAGGGUGUGCGGCCUGGGCCGUGGGAUAGAGCUGGAGGUGUGCGGAGGGGCUACGGGAGCGAACGGGGACGCGGGGAGGCAAGGGGGAGAGGGGCCUCGCUCGCGUCGGCCAGAGCGCCCCCUCCUGUUGAGCGGGUUUGCGCUCCAUCGCCAGGCCCCCCGGGUCCACUCCUUGGCGCUGUCCAGCUCUUCCCAGGAGAGCUGGAGUGUCCCUUCUUCUGACCCUGGACCGUCUGUCGUCUUGACAGCCUUUUCUCUACGGGAGCCGGGUCGCCACUCUCCUCUGAGCCUGGGAGCAUCCCUUCAUCCCUGUUUAUUCCACCAUCGGAGAGACCGGUGUUCCGUGUCGGAACCCGCGGUCUGCUGGUGGAGAGCCUCCAGCGCCAGGAGACACGGCCUGCGAGUGGUAACUUCAUGUUUCUGAAAAAGCACGCCCGCACCCUGCCCCUCAUCCACUUUUCAUGGACCACACGGACUCGCCCAGAGAGGUGAGGGGCGUGCGCGGGACACACAGCCGGGCUCGGGGGCAGGGCCAGGCCCUCUCACCCGCUGGGCAUCCUCACAUCUUCACGGCCACAAAUUCUGCCCAUUACGGUCCUUCCUAUUCUGGAUGGUGAGAAAUAGGAGCUACGUGAUGAGCUUGCUGUGACCGACGUGGCCUUGUCUUUCCCCUCGGACGAGCAGGUGGUGUAGGUGUGGGAUUGCCCGUGGGGGUCUGGCCGUGACCGAAGGAGGCCAGGGGAACUCACGCGCUGGCCACUCUUGAACCCGGGGAGCACUCCCCGCUCGGGUGGCGGGUGGAGCACCACCGGAGCAGCCCUCCGGUGGGAGGCCGGUCUGUCCUUGGACUUCCCUUCCAGUUUCCCAGCCUGGGCGCUGGGAUUAAGGGACACGUGUCCCCGGGACUGCUCUAGGGUGGGCUGAGGUCACGGUGGGUGCUGUGCGGGGCGUGAGACCUGCUUGCCUUCCAGGCCGUCUCAGCGGUGAGGGUCCUGGCCUAGGCCGUCAGCACCAUGUCACGGGGGGCUGCCCUCGGACCUGCGUGAAGACAGAGGCUCCAAGUCUUGCCGUGGGGCAGAGCAUGAUGGGAGCACAGCGCAGACCCAGCUGCGGGUCUGCUCCGCAGGCCUGGUUCUAGCUUCGCCGUCUGGAGCAGAGGUCAUCGGUGGCCUUUAGGCACUCAUCCCUCUGAGACUCAGUUUGCUGGUUCUGUGGAGUGGGCAUGGUGGCUGGUGCCCCUGAGCCUUUGUCUAGGAUCCUACUCGUACGUGAGAUGUGAGCGCACAAAGCCAAGACCAGGAGGAAGGUGGCGCCCCAGCAUGGCGGCCAGGCUGCUUGGGCGCCCACUUCCGGUUGCUGGCCUGGAUUCUGCCUGCGGGGCAGAGAGGCCUACUGCUCUCGGGGCAGACGGCGUGUGGCCCAGCCUACACCCCGGCAAGGUGAGGCUUUGGCUCUGUCACCUUUCACGACUCCUCAAAGUGGAGGGACCCAGUCUGGGCCGUGGGACCCUAAGGUGUUCAUGUGAUUUCAUUUCCGGCUCCCAGUGGGGAGCGCCAGCCCGCCUGAGGCCGGCUCAGAGGACGUGAGCUGUUGCCAUGUGAAAACCAGUGAUUUUCCCAAACAGUGAGCAGUCCUGGUGAGGUCAUGGGCCCUGCGCGAGGGCCCAAAUCGAAUCGGUUCUGGUGCCGUGUGGGCUCCCGGAACACCGCCCCGAGGUGACGACAGCCUGGCUCGGGGGCAGGGGGGUGCCGGGGCCUGCCCGCGGGGCUCCCUGCGUGUUUCUGGGGCCACAUUUCAGAAACGAAGUCCACUCAGAGGAGGGCAGGGCUCAGCAGACUCCCCCGGGUCCAGGGCCCCCAGAAACAGGGCCCUGGGGCACCGGAUGGCCCAUGUCCCCACAGCAGCAGCAGCAGCCGCCCGGGGUUUGGAGCAGGACAGCAUCUGGGGCUGAGGUCCCGGGUCCCGGGGGGGGGGGGGGGGGGGGGGGGGGGGGGGGGGGGGGGGGGGGGGGGGGGGGGGGAAGCACUGAGUGAGUGGGCACAGGCGGGGCCCAAACGGAGCCUGAGGUGGCCUCCCCUACGCGCCCUCAUGCCUGGCUGAAACCUAAUCCUCAUUCUUGGGCCCUCAUGUCACGGCCUCGGCCUGGCUUCCUGUCAGCGGGCUACCGCCAAGCUGUUCCCACUCUUCUCUCUUCCUCCAGAGGAAGGACCUUUGCCGAUGAAGUCAUGGGAAUCAAAGCUCCCUCUGCCCCCGAAAACAGGGGGAGCCUGCGGUCGACUUGCUGUGUGGCCUCCCGAUGUCCAGGCAGGCCACCUCUGCUGUUUACUGCAACCUUC
rnacentral:lncRNA from 1 species